AUUGAACGCUGGCGGCAGGCCUAACACAUGCAAGUCGAGCGGAUGAAGGGAGCUUGCUCCUGGAUUCAGCGGCGGACGGGUGAGUAAUGCCUAGGAAUCUGCCUGGUAGUGGGGGAUAACGUCCGGAAACGGGCGCUAAUACCGCAUACGUCCUGAGGGAGCAAGUGGGGGAUCUUCGGACCUCACGCUAUCAGAUGAGCCUAGGUCGGACUGGCUAGUUGGUGGGGUAAAGGCCUACCAAGGCGACGAUCCGUUACUGGUCUGAUAGGAUGAUCAGUCACACUGGAGCUGAGACGCGGUCCAGGCGCCUACGGGAGGCAGCAGUGGGGAAUAUUGGACAAUGGGCGAAAGCCUUGUCCAGCCGGGCCACGUGUGUGGAGAAGGUCUUCGGAUUGUAAAGCAGGUUAAGUUGGGAGGAAGGGCAGUAAGUUAAGACCUUGCUGUUUUGACGUUACCAACAGAAUAAGCACCGGCUAACUUCGUG
rnacentral:rRNA from 1 species